GGAAGUAAAAGUCGUAACAAGGUUUCCGUAGGUGAACCUGCGGAAGGAUCAUUGUCGUGACCCUUAAACAAAGCGGACCGUGAACAAGUCUCCCUUGCCGUCGGGCUUUGGCCCGGCUAUGGCCCCCGAGCUUCGGUGGAGGGGCCGCAAAAGAACCCACGGCGCCUUAGGCGUCAAGGAACACUUAUGUUGCCUUGCUUGGUGGAGUGCUUGGCUUGCCUUUCGCUCCCCAGCAGUAGCAAUGUUAUCUUAAUCCACACGACUCUCGGCAACGGAUAUCUCGGCUCUCGCAUCGAUGAAGAACGUAGCAAAAUGCGAUACCUGGUGUGAAUUGCAGAAUCCCGCGAACCAUCGAGUUUUUGAACGCAAGUUGCGCCCGAGGCCUUUUGGUUGAGGGCACGUCUGCCUGGGCGUCACGCCAAAAGACACUCCUUACCAAAACAUUGGAGGGAUGUGGUGUUUGGCUCCCCGUUCCGCAAGGUACGGUGGGCCGAAGUUGGGGCUGCCGGCAAACCGUGUCGGGCACAGCACGUGGUGGGCGACAUUUAGUUGUUCUUGGUGCAGCGCCCUGACACGUGACUGGCUUGUUGGCCCUGAGGACCCAUUGAGCACCGUAGCGCAUGACGCAUCGGACCGCGACCCCAGGUCAGUCGGGACUACCCGCUGAGUUUAAGCAUAUCAAUAAGCGGAGGA
rnacentral:rRNA from 1 species